GCCAAGCCCCGCCUCCCCUCCCGCAAGCUUCCCCGCGCCCAGGUGACCGCGGGUGAUGGAGGACCCCAGGGCGGGCGCCCGGAGGGACAACGAAGACCCGAGCGGCAUCUGCGGAGUCGGCGCAGGCUCGGCCUCCUCCUCCUGGCUGGGUGUGUCCCGGGCCCGCCGCUCCCCCUGGUGCCGGCCUCCUGGAGGCCGCGCCCACCGCGCCCGGUCCAGCUACGCCGCCCAAAGCUCGAGUUCAGCUUCUCCAGGACCUUCAUCACCACCGGCUCCAUGGAGCUGGGCGAGGCAGCCUCCUUAACCCCAUUUUACUGAUGAGCAAACUGAGGCGCAGAAGUCAGGUGGCAGCCAGGACUUCAACCUAGCUGUUCUCACCUCUUCCUUCCAAGCCCUCUGAACUCCACCUCGGCGGGCUCCCUUUGGGACCCCCUUCCCAGAAGCUUAGAUGGCCUCGGCGUCGGCCUCUCUGUGUCUGCGGCGCCCUCUGCAGGGUCUCACUGGCUUUCUCACCUACGCUGGAGUGCAGUGGCGGGAUCUCAGCUCACUGCAGCCUUCGCCUCCCAGGUGUUUGCACCAGCCUCCCCAUCACCAAGCAGCCAAUCCUGGCAGCAGGAAUGGAAGUCAGCAACUGAGAACCCUGGAUUUACAGCUCUAGGCAAACCAAGGAGUUUCCAGAAGUUGUGGGAAAGCUCCCACCCAGUCCCCUAUAGAGUGACUGAACAGCUGAUGGGAACACCUUCACGGUCAAUUCAAUUAUCUUUCAUGUUAUGGUCCUGGCCUCACUAGUAAACCCUGUGUAAACUCAAAACUCACUGUGAAAUCACUGUUACAUGACAUGGGAAUCUCUAAUUUUUAAUCAAAUUACGUAUUUCAAUUCA